rnacentral:rRNA from 1 species
GAUGAACGCUGGCGGCGUGCCUAAUACAUGCAAGUCGAGCGAACGGACGAGAAGCUUGCUUCUCUGAUGUUAGCGGCGGACGGGUGAGUAACACGUGGAUAACCUACCUAUAAGACUGGGAUAACUUCGGGAAACCGGAGCUAAUACCGGAUAAUAUUUUGAACCGCAUGGUUCAAAAGUGAAAGACGGUCCUGCUGUCACUUAUAGAUGGAUCCGCGCUGCAUUAGCUAGUUGGUAAGGUAACGGCUUACCAAGGCAACGAUGCAUAGCCGACCUGAGAGGGUGAUCGGCCACACUGGAACUGAGACACGGUCAAGACGCCUACGGGAGGCAGCAGUAGGGAAUCUUCCGCAAUGGGCGAAAGCCUGACGGAGCAACGCCGCGUGAGUGAUGAAGGUCUUCGGAUCGUAAAACUCUGUUAUGAGGGAAGAACAUAUGUGUAAGUAACUGUGCACAUCUUGACGGUACCUAAUCAGAAAGCCACGGCUAACUACGUG